rnacentral:rRNA from 1 species
UGAAUACGAGACGCUACGGCGUCGAAGCAGUCUAUGUCAUACUUCCAAGAAAAGCUCGCUAUGUCAUAAACCAAGAAUGCCUGUACCAUAACCGACACAGGUGGGUAGGUAGAGUAUACUAAGGGGCGCGAGAUAACUCUCUCUAAGGAACUCGGCAAAAUGACUCCGUAACUUCGGGAGAAGGAGUGCCUUAUUUCUAAGGUUGCAAUAACAAGAUCCAAGCAACUGUUUAUCAAAAACACAGGUCUCCGCUAAGUCGUAAGACGAUGUAUGGGGGCUGACGCCUGCCCAGUGCCAGAAGGUUAAAGAAGUUGGUUAGCAUUCGCGAAGCUGAUAACUGAAGCCCUGGUGAACGGCGGCCGUAACAAUAACGGUCCUAAGGUAGCGAAAUUCCUUGUCGGGUAAGUUCCGACCCGCACGAAAGGCGUAAUGAUUUGGAUACUGUCUCGGAGAGGGACUCGGUGAAAUAGACUUGUCUGUGAAGAUGCGGACUACCUGCACCUGGACAGAAAGACCCUAUGAAGCUUUACUGUAACUUGACAUUGAAAUUGGACUUUAUUUGCGCAGUAUAGGUGGGAGGCGUUGAGCAGAUUCUUGCGGGAAUCUGGGAGCCAUCAGUGAGAUACCACUCUUGUAAUGUUAGAUUUCUAACUUUGGAUCCUGAUCGGGUCAAAGGACAGUGUCAGGCGGGCAGUUCGACUGGGGCGGUCGCCUCCCAAACGGUAACGGAGGCGUACAAAGGUUUCCUCUGAACGGGUAGAAAUCGUAUCUAGAGUGUAAAGGCAUAAGGAAGCUUGACUGUGAGACCUACAAGUCGAGCAGGGACGAAAGUCGGUCUUAGUGAUCUGACGGUGCUGAGUGGAAAGGCCGUCACUCAACGGAUAAAAGUUACUCUAGGAUAACAGGCUGAUCUCCCCCAAGAGUUCACAUCGACGGGGAGGUUUGGCACCUCGAUGUCGGCUCAUCGCAUCCUGGGGCGGUAGUACGUCCCAAGGGUUGGGCUGUUCGCCCAUGAAAGCGGUACGCGAGCUGGGUUCAGAACGUCGUGAGACAGUUCGGUCCAUAUCCGGUGUAGGCGUUAGAAUAUUGAGAGGAGCCUUCUUUAGUACGAGAGGACCGAGAAGGACAUACCUCUGGUGUACCAGUUAUCGUGCCAACGGUAAACGCUGGGUAGCUAUGUAUGGAGAGGAUAACCGCUGAAAGCAUCUAAGUGGGAAGCCCACCUCAAGAUAAGUAUUCUCA